GGCAUUCUUUGGUCUAUAGCCUUUAAGAAGUAUUGAUGAAACCAAGAGAAAGCUUCUUCCGCAUCCUUCUGGCCCAAAACCUCAUUCCAAGAUAUCCUGUUUAAGCUGGUCCAUUGAUGGAAGCCGGAAAAGCAAGUACCUGUGCCAGGUGAUCCGACAUAUGGAGCUCUAUUGUCGUGCAUUUCUGAUAAACUGUAUUUAGAAAUACAUUAUCAAUACAA